rnacentral:tRNA from 1 species
AUUAUUAAUUUAAAUAAAUAUCUAAAUUUAAGUAUAUCAUUUACAAUGAUAAGAUGUUUUUAACUU